rnacentral:rRNA from 1 species
GUUUAUGACCAUGCUACCCUGAACAAGCCCAAUCCCCUCUGAUCUCGAAGCUAAGCAGAGUCGGGCCUGGUUAGUACUUGGGUGGGAGACCACUUAGGAAGACCAGGUGCUAUAGGCG